CCCUUAGAUGUUCUGGGCUGCACGCGCGCUACACUGAUGCGUUCAUCGAGUUUACGCCCUGGCCCGGCAGGGUUGGGUAAUCUUUUGAAAACGCAUCGUGAUGGGGAUAGAUUAUUGCAAUUAUUAAUCUUCAACGAGGAAUUCCUAGUAAGCGCGAGUCAUCAGCUCGUGCUGAUUACGUCCCUGCCCUUUGUACACACCGCCCGCCGCUCCUACCGAUUGAGUGAUCCGGUGAAUAAUUCGGACUGCAGCAUUGUUCAGUUCCUGAACGUUGUCGCGGAAAGUCUAGUGAACCUUACCACUUAGAGGAAGGAGAAGUCGUAACA
rnacentral:rRNA from 1 species